rnacentral:tRNA from 1 species
CAAAAUAUAGUUUAUUUAAAAUAUUAAUUUUGGAGAUUAAAGAUAUGAAAAAUUUUAUUAUUUUGA